GCAUAUGGAGGUUCUCAGGCUAGGGGUCGAAUCAGAGCUACGACUGCUGGCCUACGCCACAGCCACAGCAGUGCAGGAUCUGAGUCACAUCUGCAACCUACACCACAGCUCACGGCAACACCGGAUCCUUAACCCACUGAGCAAGGCCAGGGAUCGAACCCACAGCCUCAUGGUUCCUCGUCGGAUUCAUUUCUGCUGCACCACAACAGACACUCCCCAAAUGCAUUUUAAAUCAUUCACUUUGAAAACCAUUUGUUUCUUGUUAGUUUCCAGAGUCCGGUGUUUUAGAAAUGGUGUUUGCUAUCGGGGCACUAUUGUGACUUUACAGAUGCAGACCCAGUAGCAUGGAGCAGGUUCACAGCCAAGGAGCCUUAAGUCCCAAUGCCCACUGUGAACUAACUCUUGGCAAGUCAGUGGAGUUUCCUGAGCCUCUACUACUUUCAGUGGAAAACGGGACAAUCUCCGCACCAUCCACUUCAUAGCGAGCCGUCCAAUAGAAAGAAGACAACGAGAUAAUACACAUACGCCUGCUUCAAAAAGGAAAAGGCUGAAGACACCAUGAUGAUAAAUGGCAGCAGGUUAUGACUAAUAAUAAUAAUUCGGCAAUAGCCACUGCCCCAUCCCCUGGAGACCCUGCCCUGUUCCCCUUGGGAACCAGCCGUCUUGGUCUCCACAUUAAACACCAUGACAUCCUUACCAGGUGGUGGCAAACUGUCUGAUCGCCGUGAGUUUUCAGCAUGAUAGACGUCAAGUAUCUUGGAUUUAACCACACAGCUUGUGAGUGAAGGUGAUCAGGCCAGAACUGGAGUCUUCGCAUCAGAACUGUUUGGCCCACUGGACAGUACUCUUUCUUUUCUAUUCUUUUUUUCGGUGGCUAAAAAAAAGCGGGGGAGGGAGAGAAAAAAUGUCUAUCAAUGACAAAGCAAACACCAUUUUCAGAUACACCUCAGGACCUGGCAGCAUAUACACCAUUAAAAGAAGGCUGGAUUCCCAAUUUAGCUUUUUGUUUUAAAUCUCUGAGGUCCAUCCUCGAGAGCAACAACAGCAUCUUUGUCUGAAGGGACGGAACUCUGGUUUAUUUGUAUAGCUUGAUAUUUAUAUUGAGGUGAGGACGGGAGUAGAGAGUAGCCAAGGUUCACUAGAAUGAAAUCAGUAAAGCAAGAGCUUACACCUUAGAGCCUGAAACACACGGGAACUUUUCCCAGCGUGGCUACAAAGUCACCAAGUGAACAUAGACUAGUUCCUUAUCCUGUCCCUGUCUCAGUCUCAUUUAUGAAACGGAGCUGAGGGCACCUGACUCAUAAAGUGGAGAUGACUUAAUUAGGCAAUGAAUGCAGGGCACAGAAUAGAGAGCCUGGGGCCCAGUGAACACUUGGAACAUUAGCUGUCUCCAUCUCCAUCAUCUUCAUCUUUAUUAUCUUCAUCACCAUCUUCAUUAUCAUCCUCAUCGUCAUCAUCUUCUUCAUCUUCACCAUCAUCAGCAUCAUCGCCGUCACCACCACCACCACCAUCACUAGGUAUCAGCAACCACAAAUUUCUGACCACUUGGCGCAUCCAAGGCACUGAAGGAGAUAUUUCAAGCUCUCUUUAAAAAGGAGGGAGUUCCCAUCGUGGCUCAGUGGUUAACACAUCCAACUAGGAACCAUGAGGUUUUGGGUUCGAUCCCUGGCCUCGCUCAGAGGGUUAAGGAUCCGGCAUUGCUGUGAGCUGUGGUGUAGCUCACUCUGCUGACCCCCGUACAGAACAGUCCAUACCUCAUAAUGUAAGAAUGUCCCACCCUAUUGCUACAAGCCAUUAAAUUUUAAAGCACAGGACAGCAUUCGUGUUUUCAGCUUUGGAAGAAGAUAAAGCACUGACUUCAUGGCCAUUUGUCUCAGAAUUUACUCACAUUACAGGCCUGAAAACAUUCUACUGUUUUGGCCCAACUGGCUUUCUUGAGGGAGGAGCAUAUCCUCCGAGAGCAGAACCAGUGUAUCCGUUCUCAGGGUUAUCCGAAGUACACUCUGGCUUUGGCGAAAUCCCCAACAGCUGGUGCUCUGGGUCCCAGAUUAAGCGCCCUUACUGUGUCAGCCAUCCUCAGCAUCCAGCAGCAGUGGACCAAUUUGGAAGGAGCCACUGGAGAGCUUUGUACUUAAUAGAUAGCUACACGAUUAGUAACAGAGUCGUGACUUCUACUGAAUGUUCAAAGUACGUCUGCUCAACGAGGGACCAUGAGGCAGCCGGCCUCAAUGUGCUGAAAGGCAGAGUGAAGGGAAAAUAGAUUUGUUAUGAAACAGAAGCUCUUGGAGCCCAAAAUUAACUUACUCCAAACAUCCAUCCUUACGCCUAGUCAUUCACACAAUUCAGCCAACACCAGCUUCCAAAGAACUAACAAGUAGCUGCCAGUCCCCGCUAGGUCAUUCUUUGUCAGAACGGAACUCUAGAAGCCUCCUCUUAAAUCUGCAAAACCCUUAAGGAAAGGGGCCCCGUCUUUUGCCUCUUUACCUUCCCAUUCUGAACAAAAUGGCUGCCCAAGAGCAAGCUCACCACAGAUACUUGUGAAGCGAGUUGAGUAAAAGUAAGCCUCUUACUCCAGAGUUUGGUGUUCUAAGGAAUCCCCGAGCUUUUGAGGAACGGUGGUGUGACCUACCAGCGCCAGUCAUAUCAUGACUAGAGAUGAAUAUUCAGCUCCACCCUCAUCCUGCCCAGGCCCCAUUGUUUCCCUAAACUAGAAGUCAAGUACUUGGGAUGCAGGCUUUCUGGAACACAGCUCCCUGGAAUUCCCAGCAUAUGUUGACUCUAUGAGUAAUAAUUUCAGACAUUGGCUACCACUAUCUGCCAUCAGAUAAUAUCCCUUUCCUCCCACUAGCCAACUGGAUCAUGAACCCGAAAUACCCUUGGAAGGAUGUUUUCAUUUCAGUUCGACAUCUGGCUGCAGCCUCAGGCAGGCAGGAGGCAGGAGGCAAAGGUCACCACACACCCCUCCCCGUUCUGGAAGGUGAAGCACAGACCUCUCGUCGUCGGGGCCGUGCCAGCCCACAU
ensembl:lncRNA